CCCACGCACCUCCAACCCCACCCCACUCACCAGAUUGGGGCACAGGCCAAACGCCCCCAGCCCCUCCCCACCUCUAAUCCCCUCCCUAAACCCGGAGAGGAGGGGAGAGGGAGGCGGAAUCCCCCCCUCCGAUAGGGACCCCGGCCAAUUCCCUCCCCUCUCCUUCCCCAAACUCACUAAGUCUUGUCUACACCAGGGCAGGAUCUGGUUAAUUGGAGAAAAUCUGGCCUCCAUGAGUCUGCUGCAGCUGUUAUCCACGCGGGGAUGCAGGAUGCAUUUCCAGAGACGCAGCCGGCUCCGCAACCGGACACCUCGCCAGCGCCAGGGACAAUGGGGGCUGAGGCCAGGCGGAAUUAGGCUGGGACAGAAGGCGAGCGGAUCUGAACGACAAAGUACACCAAGGAGAUGCCGCCGGGGUGGCAUGAGAAUGCAGAUGUGGAAUCGUGCAUAAAGAUCCCUUGCUUUUGAAGGGGGACGGAUCAUCUACCUGUAAGAAGGAAAAUGAUGUCCACAUAAGCUUGACCCUUGUCUCCCUGGUGAGACUGUAACCUGUCUGAGAUCAGGGACCCUUUAACCCGAUUCCUCACCCUCCAGCCCAAGAGCUAGAGCUGACCCCAAAAUGUACAUUUGCCAAGGCUCUCUCACUCCAUCAAAAGGAGAAAUUAAUCCUGUUUUCUCUAAUUCCAGUCACUAAAAUCUUCUUUACCAGAAUAACAAUAAAAUCACA